UAUCAGCAGAGGCUUGUCACCAGACUAG
rnacentral:piRNA from 1 species